GCUCCAAUUGGCAAAAGAAAAUGUAUAUUUAUCAGAGCGCGCGGGUUCUUUGCGCAUUACUCCGCAUCUCUGGAAUGAUGACAGAGACUUUGACCUGCUUAUAGAUACCUUGAGCCAAUUGGUCUGAUUUGUAAUCAGAGGGUUCGCGGUUCGAGUCCGUUUGGAGCACCA
rnacentral:tRNA from 1 species